rnacentral:rRNA from 1 species
GAUGAACGCUGGCGGCGUGCUUAACACAUGCAAGUCGAACGGAAAGACCCUGCUUUUGUGGGGCGCUCGAGUGGCGAACGGGUGAGUAACACGUGAGUAACCUGCCCUUGACUUUGGGAUAACUUCAGGAAACUGGGGCUCAUAUCGGAUAUGAGCUCCUGCUCCAUGGUGGGGGUUGGAAAGUGUCGGUGGUUCGGGAUGGACUGGAGGCUAAUGGGCUUGUUGGUGGGGUAGUGGCUUACCAAGUUUGAGACGGGUAGCCGGCCUGGGAGGGUGGACAGGGACAAUAGGACUGAGAGAGGGAGCAGUCGCGUACGGGAGGCAGCAGUGGGGAGUAUUACACAGUGGGCGGGAGCCUGAUGCGGCGGCGCCGCGUGCGGGAUGACGGCCUUUGGGUUGUGAACCGCUUUCGCCUGAGACGAAGCGUUAGUGACGGUAAUGGGUAAAGAAGCACCGGCUAACUACGUG